rnacentral:rRNA from 1 species
UACAGAGGGUGCGAGCGUUAAUCGGAAUUAUUGGGCGUAAAGGGUGCGUAGGUGGAUGAGUAAGUUGGAUGUGAAAGCCCCGGGCUUAACCUGGGAAUCGCAUUUGAUACUGUUCGUCUAGAGUGGAGUAGAGGAUAGCGGAAUUUCCGGUGUAGCGGUGAAAUGCGUAGAUAUCGGAAAGAACACCAGUGGCGAAGGCGGCUAUCUGGGCUCACACUGACACUGAGGCACGAAAGCGUGGGGAGCGAACAGG